rnacentral:rRNA from 1 species
UACGUAGGGGGCAAGCGUUGUCCGGAUUUAUUGGGCGUAAAGAGCGUGUAGGCGGCCAGAUAGGUCAGCUGUGAAAACUCGAGGCUCAACCUCGAGACGUCGGUUGAAACCAUCUGGCUAGAGUCCGGAAGAGGAGAGUGGAAUUCCCGGUGUAGCGGUGAAAUGCGCAGAUAUCAGGAAGAACACCCGUGGCGAAGGCGGCUCUCUGGGACGGUACUGACGCUGAGACGCGAAAGCGUGGGGAGCGAACAGG